UGGAGGGCAAGUCUGGUGCCAGCAGCCGCGGUAAUUCCAGCUCCAAUAGCGUAUAUUAAAGUUGUUGCAGUUAAAAAGCUCGUAGUUGAACCUUGGGUCUGGCUGGCCGGUCCGCCUCACCGCGAGUACUGGUCCGGCUGGACCUUUCCUUCUGGGGAACCUCAUGGCCUUCACUGGCUGUGGGGGGAACCAGGACUUUUACUGUGAAAAAAUUAGAGUGUUCAAAGCAGGCCUUUGCUCGAAUACAUUAGCAUGGAAUAAUAGAAUAGGACGUGUGGUUCUAUUUUGUUGGUUUCUAGGACCGCCGUAAUGAUUAAUAGGGAUAGUCGGGGGCGUCAGUAUUCAGCUGUCAGAGGUGAAAUUCUUGGAUUUGCUGAAGACUAACCACUGCGAAAGCAUUCGCCAAGGAUGUUUUCAUUAAUCAGGGAACGAAAGUUAGGGGAUCGAAGACGAUCAGAUACCGUCGUAGUCUUAACCAUAAACUAUGCCGACUAGGGAUCGGACGGGAUUCUAUGAUGACCCGUUCGGCACCUUACGGGAAAC
rnacentral:rRNA from 1 species